UACAGAGGUGGCAAGCGUUGUUCGGAAUUACUGGGCGUAAAGGGCGCGUAGGCGGCCUUCUAAGUCAGACGUGAAAUCCCCCGGCUUAACCUGGGAACUGCGUCUGAUACUGGGAGGCUUGAGUAUGGGAGAGGGAUGUAGAAUUCCAGGUGUAGCGGUGAAAUGCGUAGAUAUCUGGAGGAAUACCGGUGGCGAAGGCGGCAUCCUGGACCGGCAUUGACGCUGAGGAGCGAAAGCCAGGGGAGCAAACAGG
rnacentral:rRNA from 1 species